rnacentral:rRNA from 1 species
CUUGAACGCUGGCGGCAGGCCUAACACAUGCAAGUCGAGCGAGCGGCGGACGGGUGAGUAAUGUAUGGGGACUGCCCGAUAGAGGGGGCUAUCUACUGGAAACGGUGGCUAAUACCGCAUACUAUCGGAUAACCCAUAUGGGAUUGGCUAGUAGGUGGGGUAAAGGCUCACCUAGUCGACGAUCUCUAGCUGGUCUGAGAGGAUGAUCGGCCACACUGGGGCGGAGACACGACACAAAGGCAUACAAAGGCUGCAGUGGGGAAUAUUGCACAAUGGGAGCAAACAUGAUGCAACCAUGCCGCGUGUAUGAGGAAGACCUUAGGGUUGUAAAGUACUUUCAGCAGGGAGGCGUAACACGCAGAAGAAGCACCGGCUGACUCCGUGCAUGCAGCCGCGGUAAUAC